rnacentral:rRNA from 1 species
CCUACGGGUGGCAGCAGUGAGGAAUAUUGGUCAAUGGACGAGAGUCUGAACCAGCCAAGUAGCGUGAAGGAUGACUGUCCUAUGGGUUGUAAACUUCUUUUAUCUGGGAAUAAAAUGUUCCACGUGUGGGAUUUUGUAUGUACCAUAUGGAUAAGGAUCGGCUUACUCCGUGCCAGCAGCCGGGGUAAUACGGAGGAACCGAGCUUUUUCCGGAUUUAUUGGGUUUAAAGGGAGCGUCGGGCGAUUGUUAAGUCCGUUGUGAAAGUUUGCGGGUCAACCGUAAAAUUGCAGUUGAAACUGGCAUUCUUGAGUACAGUAGAGGUGUGCGGAAUUCGUGGUGUAGCGGUGACAUGCUUAGAUAUCACGAAGAACUCCGAUUGCGAAGGCAGCUCACUGGCCUGCAACUGACACUGAGGCUCGAAAGUGUGGGUAUCAAACAGGAUUAGAUACCCCAGUAGUC